rnacentral:tRNA from 1 species
UGGGGUGUGGCUCAAUGGCAGAGCUUGCCUAGCACGUGGGAGGCACUGAGUUCGAUCCUCAGCACCACAU